UUCCACAUUUAGGGGUGUUACCUGGGUUUGGAAUAGCCAGCUGUCUCAAACACUAUCCGCAUUUUUAAAGGAAUAAGAAGUCUUGGCAGACACUGGAACAAUUAAUUGGCUUUUUCAGCCAAGUCAGACAAGCCAAUUUGAAAGACUGAGGGCAUGGAUGCACAUGGUGAAAGAAAGUGAGGAUGGAAAACUAUGUGCUUACCAGUAAAAAUGGACAGGCAAGCAAGAUGUUGGAAACUAUAUUGAAGGAGCAAGAUUCUCUAAAGAAAGAAAGUCACAAGGAGAAGAGAAAUAAGAUCAGCCUCACUGUUCUAGAAGUCUUAGGUUAGCCUAAAAUUUUCUCAUAAAAUUUCCUGGGGAGGAAAAUUUGAGCUUUUUUGGGCAAAAAAAAAUGUAAAGGUGAGAGCAGCAUGCUGAAGAUGAUGCUUUACUUCACCUCUGUUUUCUUUUAUGUAGUCUCUGAAGCAUGCAGCUCUCCUAGACAGGUGAACUCUGCAGAAAAGUUUAAUUAGAAAAUGCUGUAAUGUGUACUGGUGGGAGAGUGUGACACUGCUGGACUGUGGACUGCCCAAGAAAAAGCUGAAGUGCCAUUCACAAACAGCUCUAGAAUUCCUAACUGGAAGCAGUAUGGAGGAUAUAGGAAAAAGAAAGGACUGUGCACAUAUGGGUGCUGGCCUGGAAAGUUCUGUACUGAUGAACUCAAAGUGCCAAGGGUUUAUGUCCCUCUCUAAAUCACGAAUGAGGAGAUUUUACGUCGUCUUUUGUGGGAGGGAUUUGUUUGAAUGAGUAUAUUGUACCAUAAAGGAAUAGCUUUAUUAAUGUUAAGGUUGCUUUCAAUAAUAUGACUUAAUUUAUAGACCUAUUGGAGGAAGCAUAAGAUUUCCUCAAGGACCCAAAGCUUAGUCAUGGGCACAGACAACAUGAGAAAGCAUUGCAAGACUGGAAAACCUAGAAAGCAAUAUUGGCAAACAAUCCCAGAAAGCAACAAUCGCAGACUGCUUCAUGCAGGCCAAGGUUCUGAUUUCUUUAAGGGGGAAGUUUUCUGUCACUCACUGGGAAGGAAACACCGAUGUACUGUCCUGGUGUCUCAUUUUCAGAGUAGUCCUGAUUUAUAGCGACUUAUGGAGGUCAUUUAGUCCAGGCUGCCAUUUGAAGCAAGACUGUUGCCAAGAUUGGAUGAAGUGGGCUGUGGCUUUCUUCUGCCAAGUCUUGAAAACCUUCAGGGAUGAAGAUUCCAUCACCCCUGUCUUGUUGACCAGGUCCACUGCCACACUCUCCUCUCAGUCAAGACCUAUUGUAGCCAGCAUGCAGGGGUCAGGUACAGAUGCCGAAGUCAGAUCCCAAAAUGAUAGGGAAAAGAAGUACAUGGAAUAAUGAAAACACUUCCCAGGCAUGCUUUUCUAGUCAGUUCUGAUAUUUUUGAGUGGUGGCAGAUUUGAAACUUUUGCGUCUUGUCUGAUGAAUACUAUGCCUUGGAUGUGUUGUUGGAAUUUUAAAAAUAAUGGUUCUGAGAGCAUCAGAAUUGUUCUUAAUGUGUUUAACAGUGCCAGUGAUCCAAAGACACAAGUAGUUGAACUUCAAUGUCUCAGUAUUUAACUGGUUUUGAAACCAAGUUUUUCAUGUCAAGUUGCAUUUGGGAUCCAGAAUAAAGAAAAGUUGAUGCGCGAACCCACAAUUUCCUUGAGCAUAUGUUCUU